rnacentral:rRNA from 1 species
GACCUCAAUUUGAGCAAGAUUACCCGCUGAACUUAAGCAUAUCAUUUAGCGGA